GUAAAGAUGCCAGAAAAUUUACAUGGGGUUAAUUUAGGAUUAAUUUAUGACUGAAGUCUCUUUACU
rnacentral:tRNA from 1 species